rnacentral:lncRNA from 1 species
UUUAUUUUGGACUAUUUUGAUGCCAAGUGAGUAUAAGAGCUUGUACUGAAACCAUUUAUUUCUUUCUAUUUUGCUAUUUGCAAAUGCUUGUUAUCUUCCCUACAUGAAGUGGCAGUAACCUUUUUCACAUUUAAGCUACCCUUCUACCUUUUGAAGUGAUUUGCAGUUACUCAUCUGAGACAGCAUCAGUAUUUGACUAAAUCAUUGUUUCACAACUGAAUAGUCUUGUUCUUUUAGUAGCAAUGAAAUCCUAAGCUCUUGAGGCCAUUCACCUGCCAACCUGACCAUACUGCUUUCAAAAGUCUUUUCUCAUCAGUAGAAUCUAUUUUGGUCACUUCUAGUCAAUGAAAAAUGUAAACUUUUAGGAGAGAAUGUUUCCUAGGACUCACCCACUCCAUUCAAUGUUACAUAUAAAAUAGUGUGAUCAAUCACAAUGUCCAUCUUUAGACAGUUGAUUAAAUAAAUUAUCUGGUCUUUGAAAAGACCGUGCUGGGCGCGGUGGCUCUUGCCUGUAAUCCCAGCACUUUGGGAGGCUGAGGUGGGCAGAUCACCUGAGAUCGGGAGUUUGAGACCAAGCCUGACCAAUAUGGAGAAACCCUGUCUCUACUAAGAAUACAAAAUUAGCUGGGCAUGGUGGUGCAUGCCUGUAAUCCCAGCUACUUGGGAGGCCGAGGCAGGAGAAUUGCUUGAACCCGGGAGGCAGAGGUUGCAGUGAGCUGAGAUAGCGCCAUUGCACUCCAGCCUGGGCAACAAGAGCAAAACUCUGUCUCAAAAAAAAAAAAAAAAAAAUGAUGGAGCUCUGAAUGUGCUUAAGUGGAAAGAUAUCUAUGAAAUAUGGUUGUUUUUUAAAACACAAAAAUUAUAGAAUAUGGGAUCCCGUGUGUGUGUGUGUGUGUGUGUUUGAAUGAAAAAUGCUUAUAUAUUGACAGAACACUUCUAGAAUGAUACCCAAACUCCUGGAGUGGGAGUGGGGAAUGCCUUCUAUGUACACACUGUUCUACUGUUUGAAUUUUUUACUAUGAGCCCAAAUUGUAUAAUCUUUUUUUAAUAAAGGGG